CGGCGACGGACUGGCAGCCGGGCGAAGGACACUUGCCGGCGGCGGCAAACAGGCGGCCGACGAAUCACGCACGCGCGCACAACCUAGAAUUGUUGAGGAAUGAAGAGGGCCAGACGAGACAUUAUCUCUCUUUUUCCAGAAGAAGAGAAACAAUGUCUCGUCAAGGCCGGGAAUAUGUCAGAUGUGGCCGAAGAGCAAACCGGAGAACUUGUGUGUAUGCCAGAAACAUAGUCUUUUUGAACUUCUCAAGUUAGAACUUUCACAUGUCAUAUUGCUUAUCAAAAAAAAAAAUGGGGCGGACCACCCUGGUGUCAAAUACUAGCUCCGCCACUG